UUUAUUAACUGCAGAACGAAGACAAAUAGACAAAGGAGGACAAAAGUGUGACUGUAAAGAGAAGGCUAAAAAAAAAUAUUUGUUGUAUUGAAAUUAUUCACUGAUCUGUCCAGCUAAGAUUUAUUUAUAUGUAAAUCUAAACAUUGAUCGUGCUCAACUACGAAAUGUAACUUAUUGCAUUGCGUUCAUUAACCUAACAUAACCAUAUAAGCAAUCGUUAUUUUCGAUGAUGGAACGAAGGAAGUACGACGUUCGGAAUUUUCGUCAUCAAUUUUAUUUAUCUAUAAUAAGAAAUGGUAUUCGACACGACGACGACUGGACGUAGGCGUCGUGAUCUGGUUUGUUAUCGUUAACAGUACAAUGUGACGUAUGUACAUAGAAAUAUGGAAGAUGGAUUUGGUUAUAGUUAAACAGAAUUGAUAUCUUCUCUUUAAGUUUGUACAUUCGUUCUUCGAUUAAACAGUGUUCUUUUAUCGAAACUUUCUUUCGGUUAUAUAUUUUUUAUUGAAUGUAUUGUACAUAUGUCAAAUAGCUGAGGAUUCUGAAUUCAUUCUAUUUUCAUAAUAUUCUUGUAAUUUUAUUUCUUUAAUUUUGUAUUAAUGAAUUUAAUGUAGAUUCUUUCAAUGCUUAUUGUUGACGUUUCAUUAGUAAUCGACAUCAUCGAGAUAAGAAGGAUUGAUGCUUAAGACUUUUAUUAAAAGAUAAUGCUUAAGACUUUCAUUGAUAUUUACUAAGAAUCGAAGAGGUUAAGUUUUACAUAAUCAUAUAUAUUGCAUCCUAGAACUACGAAUUCUUCUAUUGUCAUCUGGACAUCGUUGGAAAUUUAUGUGCACGAUCGAAACAAGCACGUGGGGAAGCCAUUGGAAAGAUGACGUAAGGCGUACGCGCGACAGUUCAUAGCUUCCUUCCUGCUGCCUAAUCCGCCAUUCCAAAUCGUUUCGUGGCACGCGUCGCAACCAAGCUUCCUCCGUUCGUUAAUUAAUGGGAGAGGUACGACGUCUGGAUUUUCGUCUUCAAUUUUACUUAUUUACAAUAAGAAAUGGUGUUGGACACACGACGAUUACUGAUCGAAGCAACAAGCACGUGGGGAAGCCAUUAGAAGGAUGACAUAACGCGCAUGCGCGACGAUACAGCUUCCUUGUUGCCGCUUAAUCCGCCAUUCUGAAUUAGUUCGUGACACGUGUCACAACCAAGCUUCGUCCUCUCAUUAAUUGCAGAAUGGAAGUGGUACGAUAUUCGGAUUAUCAAUUUUACUUACGUACAAUAAGAAGUGAUAUUCGAUACAGGACGACGAGUGGAUGUAAAUUCUGUGAAUUUGUUCGUCAGCGUUAACGAUACAGUGUGCCCUCUGUUCCUGGAAAGAAGCAAGAUGGAUUCGACUAGAGUUCAACAGAGUAGACGUCUUCCGUUUAAGUUUAUACAUUCAUUCUUCGAUUAAGCAGUGUUCUUUCAGCGAAACUUCUUUUAGUAAUUUGCCGUCAGAGUAUAUUUUUUGUUCGAUUGUACAUUUUUUGGGAAGUGCGUUUUAUAUACGUGGAAUAGUUGAUAAUUCGGAGUUCAUUCAAAUUGAAUAACGUUGAUGUAACAUUAUUUCUUUAAUUUUACAUUAGUGGAUUUUAUAUAGAUUCUUUCAACCUUCAUCGUCGUCAUGUGAUUAAUAAUCGACAUCAUCAGGAUAGGGAGGAGUUUUGCACGGUCGUCACCGCGCAGUUGAAUCUUUCUAGACGCAACCCACUUUUUAUCGAGCACGUGUUUAUGGUCGAGAUUUGUCUCGUACCAUUUUCUGUGCAUUUACGCUGGUUGCUCUGCCCUCGUCCAGCAUUAUAAAAUAACCGAGGACAUUCUACUCUCCUCCUUAUUUUUUAGACCUGCUUCAGAUGUCGUUAAUUGAUCUCACGUCGAGGACGAUCGAUGGGAAAAUCUAUGUACGCGAACGCGCUUAAUCUACAUUAUUUUAACGAGUCGUCUCGUCCGUCUUGGAAUAUCACUGCGAAAUAAAAAUUGUAGACUUUUCGUCGAUAGUACAUGACAGAACGAAUACUGCUUAAAUCACGGAGUGGAUGUAUCAUUCGACGGAUCGUUUCCUGAUUGCUGUAAUGCGGUUGACAGUUCUUUAGCCAUCGAAAUGUUACAAGCACGUGGGGAAGCCAUUGCAAAGGUGACGUAAUGCGCAAGCGCGGCGGUCCACAGCCCCCUUGCUGCCUCAGAAUCCAUCAUUUUGAAUAAUUAUUGGCACGUGUUACGACCAAGCUUUUUUCUCGUUGAUUGCAGAAUGGAAGAGGUAGGACGUCCAGAUUUUCGUCAUCAAUUUUACUUAUUUACGAUAGUAAAUGGUGUUCGACACACAACAACGACUGGAUGUAGACGUGAUUUCUUUCGUUAUUGUUGACAUUACAUCGUGGCUAAUUUUCUUAAAAAUAAGCAAGACGAAUUUAGUUACAUUCAAACAGAAUUGACAUCUUGACAGUACGAACGCUACUUAAAUCGUGGAAGGAAGCGUUCCUUGAUCUAACAACCAGCUAAGGAAUCAUUAUUUUCGAUGAUAGAAAGAAAGAAGUAUGAAGUUCAAAAUUUUCGUCAUCAGUUUUACUUAUCUAUGAUAAGCAAUGGUAUUGGACACAGGACGACAACUGAUAAGCAAUAGUUGACAUAUAUUAUUAUUUAUUUUCACGUUACCCUUUACGAUAACGUUUAGCUAAUUCUACAUUUAUUUUUUCAGGGUAUAGGCAUUGCGAUUUCGUCCGUUAUUGUUAACAAUGCAUCGUGGCCCGUGUUCCUUGAAAUAAGCAUGGUGAAUUUAGUUACAGUCGAACAGAAUUGACAUCUGUUUACACAUUCAUUCUUCGAUUAAACAGUGUUCUAUUAACGAUACUUUUACAUCGGAGUAUAUUUUUCUUCCGAUUACAUUUUUCAUUUAAUAUACAUCGAGUAGCUGAUAAUUCAAAGUUUAUUCAAGUUGGAUAACGUUAUCGUAACUUCAUUCCUUUAAUCGAUGAAAAAAUCUAUGUAAGCGAACGCGUCUUAAAUAACACUAUUUCAACGAAUCAUAUGGUCUCUCUUGAAAUAUCGCUGCGAAAUAGAAACGAUAGGCUUUUCGUCGAUAGUAUACGACAGAACGAACACUGCUUACAUCGAAAUAUAUGUGUUAAUUGGGUCGUGGAUUCCCGGAUAGCAGUUCCUAAGUAUCACGCUCGUUAGAGCAAGAUGGUUCUUUAUUCUCUUGUCUGAUGAGGAAUACUUAACAUUUUGAUAUUUUUAUUAUAACACUAUUUUUAUUAACUUUGUUAAUUUUUUUUUUUUUCUUUUAGGAAGCCUAUGUUGUAAUUUCGUUCUACUGUUUGGAUACGGAUAAAAGAACAAUUCAACGCUCUAGUUGGAAAUGGUCUUUGUAAAAUUGCGACUCACGGAAAGCCUCCUUCCUCUAGGAUCUAUCAUGAAUAUGAAGAUGAGAGAGGAAAGGAAAGGAGCCAGGAAGAUGCGAUGGAAGCAAUAACGAAGGAUGGAAUCUUGAAGAAUCUUCCACUGGGUUAAAAUCAGCACGAAAACAACGCUUCCUUCAUUUUACCGAACCGAAAGAAGACUCGCCUCUCCUUCGUGCGUAUUGCUUCUUUAAAUCUGCUUAAGCUCCAACGUUCUACGUAAUUCUCGGCGAUUUUGCGCACCCCUAAGCGUUUCUGCGUGACACCCUGAGCAUUUCUGCGACACCUGGAGCGUUUCUGCGACACCCUGAGCGUUUCUGCGACACCCUGAGCGUUUCUGCGACACCCUGAGCGUUUCUGCGACACCCUGAGCGUUUCUGCGACACCCCGAGCGUUUCUGCGACACCCCGAGCGUUUCUGCGACACCCCGAGCGUUUCUGCGACACCCCGAGCGUUUCUGCGACACCCCGAGCGUUUCUGCGACACCCCGAGCGUUUCUGCGACACCCCGAGCGUUUCUGCGACACCCCGAGCGUUUCUGCGACACCCCGAGCGUUUCUGCGACACCCCGAGCGUUUCUGUGACACUACCUUGAGCGUACCUUGGAUACCCUAAGCGAUCUUGCAUGAUACCCUGAGCGUUUCUGCGACACCCUCAGCGUACCUGCGCAAUCCCUAACGUCGUAUUCUGUUCAAUUCUCAGCGUUUUGCGUAACCACCAGCAUUUCAAACGAUUCCCCUGCUUUAGUCUUGCGCAUAAUUACGAUGUUUUACGAAAAAUUACAAGAUAGAAACAAAUUUGUUAGAAUCAUUGUUAUAAUAUUGUUGGAGUUUAUAGAGCGUUGAAAAAAUGAAACUUCAAUUGGAAGGUAGUACAUCAGUUGAUUUUUUCUUUCCGGAAUGUUAACAUAAAAUUGUUUUAUACUUCACAAGAUAUUACGUGCGGUGCAACGUUUAAGCGGUUGUAUUAUUGUUUAAAUCUUAUUUUAUAUCGACCAAUCGUAUAUUAUAGAUUCUUUAAAUAAUUGUAAAGUGAUAGAAAGCAUACAUAAACUUGGGUGCGUUAAGAAAACUAUUAUUUAAGUAUAAUUUUAUAUCGAACAAACGUAUAUUGUAAACCGUUUAAAUAAUUGUAUAGUGAUAAGAAGCGUAUAUAAACAAUGGUGCGUUGAGAAAAAUAUUUAAAUAUAAUUUUAACUCGAGUAAACGUAUAGUAUAGAAUGUUCAAAUAAUUAGUUAAACUAAUAGAAAGUAUACAUAAAUUCUGAUGCGUUGAGAGAAUUAUCGUUUAAUUAUAAUUUUAUACCGAACAAACGUAUAUUGUAAAAUUGUUUAAAUAAUUGUAAAGUGAUAGAAAGCAUACAUAAAUUUGAUGCGUUAAGAGAAUUUUAGACCACCGUUGGGCGUAUCGAAAACCGUCGUCCAGUAUUUAUCCGUAACAAGAAACAUCUUUUUAGACAAUUCUUAGGAUAUCGCGUGACCCCAGCUUCGCGAAUAAUUGAAAUGCUCAUAUACUAAAAAAGAAAAAAUAUUAUUUUUAUCAUUGUAAUAAGAAAGCGUCGAAAAAAAAGGAAGGCAGUAUGUAAGCAGAUUUCUGUUCUGCGAAACGUUCGAUUAAAAUUAUUUUCUACGUACUACGAGCGGUAUAAAGCUUGAGCGGCGGGGUUGUAUUCUGUAAAUAUUAGUUUGAUACUACCGAGCGUACAUAUGUAGCGUACAUUGCUUAAAUGAUUGUAAAACGACAAAAAAUAAAAAUGAUCUAGGUUUAGCGCGGUUCAACGCGGUCCAACGCGUGUACCGGAAAUUUUAGGGCAUGGUAGAGCGUUUCAACUACCGUGAAUCCAUUCGUGCGUAAUUAAGCGUAUUGCGUAAUUCCGAACAGAUUGGCGUAACCCUUAGAAAUAUUGCGUAAACCCCUAACCCUUAUUUAGGUAAAUUCUCUGGCUCUGCCAGACGCAACCCAGCGAUUUCGCCGACUACGUGGUUUGGCGUAAGUAUCCAUUUGGCAAGGUAUGGUUUUUUUACACGUAAGUCCUAUCGAUUUUUCGCAACGUCCAACGUGGACACCCAGAGUUUUGUCUUUUUCAGGUUAUCUGCAACCUCGGAGUUAUUUAUUUACCUACAUACUAUCGAGAUUACUGAAGCGAUGGUAUUUUUUUUUGCAUAAUGUUAAGGGCAUUGCGUCGUUUUAAACGAAUGCGCGUAAUCAGUAGUUUUUCUUUAUUUUUUGUAUGAAGCCCAGCGUAUCUAUAUAAUCCUUACAAAUUUUGUGUAAACCUUUGCGUGUAUUCAGCCGAACUUCUGUGGUCUAACUUCGGUGUAAUCCAGACGCGACCCAACGAUUUGCAGUAAGUAUUUUUCUCACUUAAUGCCUUUAUGUUCGUUCCGUAAUUUUACGCGUGUUGCGUAAAUUGCAUAGUAUCUGCAACCCGCAGCUUAUUUUCCUAGGUACCAGCGAAGUUAUUUAAACUGCGGCAUUUUUUUUUUCAUAGUUCGGGAUAUUUUCGUUUUAUCCGAAGAAUCCGCGUUUUUAUAUAGCCUAACGUCUCUGUUUAAACCGUGGCGUGUAUUUAGCUUCAUUUUAGCGUGUCUACUUAACUCUAACGUUUCCACAUUAUCACUUAGUUAUCGACCGUAUUUUUUUUUUUAACGUGAUCUCUAUUCGUCGCGUAAUUCUUCGCGUAUAUAGUAAUUUGGAGGGUAUUUAGAGCCCUAGCUUAUUUUCCAUGAUACUGGAUGGGUUACUUUCCCGACAGAAUAUUUGCAUAGUCCCAGGGGUACUUCCGAUGAAUCGUUGCAAUGUCAAACUUCUUUACAACGCCAAGCGAUUUUGCGAAACCUUUGCACGAUUUGAAAGCCCUAGUGUAACGUAGCGUAUUUUUACAUAACGAUCCCGAGAUUUGUCGAAAGUACUUUUUUCUUUUUUCAUAAUGCUUGUCGGUUUUUCUUCUUGACAUUCUUAACAGCUGCGUUAUUCGUAGAAUACUCUAAGCAGCUUAUUUUCGUAGAUACUAGCUAGGUUAUUGAAACGACAGCAUUUUUUCUUUUUUCUUUUUUAUAAUUCGUAGGGCACUCGUUAGAUCCGACGAAUCUGCGUAAAUACUACGGUUUUACUCGUAGAUGACCGUGUACUUUCAUGUGUAUCUGCAACUAUCAGCUUAUUAAUCGAAGAUAUUACCGAGGUUAUAUGAUCGACUGCAUUUAUUUUGCAUAAUCUGUGGGGCACUCGCGUUAUUUCCGAAGAAUCUGCGUAAAUACUAGGGUUUUCAGGAAAUGCAGCGUUUCUGUGUAAUCCUUGUAGAUUUGGCGUCGGUAAUAGGGCGUAUUAGGUAGCCUCCGAGAAUGCGGCGUAAUCCGAUUGUUUCCGCGUUACCACCCUGUGAUUUCGCGUAAGUACUUGCAUUUAUACGUAAUACUUGUGUAAAUUCCUGUCGGUUUUCGAUAACUCGUGGAUGACCUUGUAGUUCCCGUGUAUUUACAACUGUCGGCUUAUUAAUCGAAGAUAUUACCGAGGUUAUAUGAUCGACUGCAUUUUUUUUUGCAUAAUCUGUGGGGCACUCGCGUUAUUUCCGAAGAAUCUGCGUAAAUACUAGGGUUUUCAGGAAAUGCAGCGUUUCUGUGUAAUCCUUGUAGAUUUGGCGUCGGUAAUAGGGCGUAUUUAGGUAGCCUCCGAGAAUGCGGCGUAAUCCGAUUGUUUCCGCGUUACCACCCUGUGAUUUCGCGUAAGUACUUGCAUUUAUACGUAAUACUUGUGUAAAUUCCUGUCGGUUUUCGAUAACUCGUGGAUGACCGUGUAGUUCCCGUGUAUUUACAACUGUCGGCUUAUUAAUCGAAGAUAUUACCGAGGUUAUAUGAUCGACUGCAUUUUUUUUUGCAUAAUCUGUGGGGCACUCGCGUUAUUUCCGACGAAUCUGCGUAAAUACUAGGGUUUUCAGGAAAUGCAGCGUUUCUGUGUAAUCCUUGUAGAUUUGGCGUCGGUAAUAGGGCGUAUUAGGUAGCCUCCGAGAAUGCGGCGUAAUCCGAUUGUUUCCGCGUUACCACCCUGUGAUUUCGCGUAAGUACUUGCCUUUGUACGUAAUACUUGUGUAAAUUCCUGUCGGUUUUCGAUAACUCGUAGAUGACCGUGUAGUUCCCGUGUAUUUACAACUGUCGGCUUAUUAAUCGAAGAUAUUACCGAGGUUAUAUGAUCGACUGCAUUUUUUUUUUUUUGCAUAAUCUGAGGGGCACUCGCGUUAUUUCCGACGAAUCUGCGUAAAUACUAGGGUUUUCAGGAAAUGCAGCGUUUCUGUGUAAUCCUUGUAGAUUUGGCGUCGGUAAUAGGGCGUAUUUAGGUGGCCUCCGAGAAUGCGGCGUAAUCUGAUUCUUUCCGCAUUACCACCCUGUGAUUUCGCGUAAGUACUUGCCUUUGUACGUAAUACUUGUGUAAAUUCCUGUCGGUUUUCGAUAACUCGUAGAUGACCGUGUAGUUCCCGUGUAUUUACAACUGUCGGCUUAUUAAUCGAAGAUAUUACCGAGGUUAUUUUAUCGACUGCAUUUUUUUUUUUUGCAUAAUCCGCGGGGCACUCGUUAUAUCCGACGAAUUUGCGUAACUACUAGCAUUUUCAUAAAGUCCGGCAUUUCUGCGUAACCUACAGAUUUUACAAAAAUCUAAGUACGCAAUCUACAGCGUGGGACAUAACCCCACUGUCUUCGCUUUACCAUCCGGUGAUUAGAAGUAUUUGUCCGUUUUCUUUUUAGGUAAUCCCUCGGUUUUUCAAUAAUUCCUAACGUACCGACGUAGUUCCUAGGUUUAUCAGCAAUACCCAGGUUAUUUUCUUAGAUACUAGCGAGGUUACUUAAACGAUAUUUUUGUCCUCCGAGCUUUCUCCGUAAUCUCAUUUUUUUCCGCAUUACCAUCUCGUGAUUUCGCUCAAGUAUAUUGUUUUUCCGUAAUGGAUGUCGAUUUUUCCUAACUCCUAGAUGACCGUGUUAUUUCCAGGAUAUCUGUAACGAUCAGCUUAUUAAUUCUAGAUAUUAACGAGGUUAUUUAGUCGAUAGCAUUUUUGAAUAGUCCCUGAGGCGGUUGCAUUAUUUACGUAGACUAUACGAACUACCAGCAUCUUUAUAAAGCUCAUCGUUUCUGGGUAACCCUUACAGAUUUUGGCUUAUCCGACUGGCGAUUUGAAGUAAGUAUUUGUGCUUUAUUUUUUAUUCUUAUGUAAUAUCUGUCUUCAAUAAUUACUAAUAUACCGACGUAAUUUUAGGUUACCCAUCUUAUUUCCCUAGAUUCUAGAGAGGUUACUUAAACGACAACAUGGUUGCAUAAUCCCAGGGGCAUAUUCGUUAUUUCCUACGAAUCAAGUAACGACCAGCGUCUUCAUAAAGUGCAGCAUUUCUGUAUAUCCUCAUAGAUUUGUCGUCAAUCCUAGAACGUAUUUAGGUGGCCUCCGAGCGUCAGGCGUAACGUCAUAGUGUCCGCAUAAGCGAAUAAAUUUGUUUCUACCUAA